rnacentral:piRNA from 1 species
UGCAUACUCUGCCAUUUUGUCUUUCUCUU